GUACUCUCACACUCUACUAUUAGAGAAGUGGACUUGGGUGUUGCUGCUUCGCUGUGGCUCAUCUCAAAUAUGCUAGUGCAACUCAUGGUUGGAUAUAGUACAGCGUGAUAAGUAUCUUCGCUGGCGCCUCAUGAAGAGGGUGUCCGAUUGGGAGCUCUGUGCUUCGAACAGUCCCAUCUGGGACAAUCUCUGACA
rnacentral:misc_RNA from 1 species